UUCUAAGAAGUCAACAUCUGUAUGAAUUUCUCAAGUUUCUCAACUGUAUGAGAAAUGAGGCAGUGACAACUUGUAUCAGUAGUAUACAGUGCUGUGCAUAUGCCAAGAAAUCUGUGAGUGAACCUGUCCUGGAGAUGUGCACUGUGGGCUUUCCAUGAACCCUCACAUUUCAUACCCCACUACUGGGACUGCCUGCCAGGAAUGUGCCCUUUGCCCUCGCUGAAGGAGAGAAUCCGUUUGCAGAUUCAUCCCUCUCACCCCAGAUCAUCUGGAACAGCUUUCUGGAACAGGUGCAUGCCAUCAGCAUCCUAUAGGGCCUAUCUGUAUCUGUCCAAAUGUUCUGGCAGGAGACAAUAGCCAAUGUUGAUUUGCUGCUGUUUGGGAUGAGGAAAGAAAACUGAUGUGGUUAGCAAACUGUUAACAAGCUGUUAGCAAACUAAUCUUUUUUUUCUUUGUUAAAUGUAAGCAUGCACCAUAUUCUUUCUCUUAAGCUGCAUUAUUUUAGGUUUGAAAUGGAAAAAGAAAUAAAAACUCAUUAAAAAUCAUAUGUUCCCUUGAGAUCGCUCUCAACAAACGCCUGUGCAAACUGCCAGACAUGAGAGGAGCAAGUAGAUGCUGUUUAUGAGCCUUACCUUACUACUUUUUAUGGAAAUGAGCAGAUAAAUAAAGAUGGUCUGCAAGUGAGAAGGGAGGUCAGAUUUCCAAAGCCAGCUCUAAAGUAAAUCUGAAUCCAUAUCUUGUCUUACAAUGGGAACUGGACUGCACAGCC
rnacentral:lncRNA from 1 species